rnacentral:tRNA from 1 species
GGUAGCGUGGCCGAGCGGUCUAAGGCGCUGGUUUAAGGCACCAGUCUCUUCGGAGGCGUGGGUUCAAAUCCACCCUUUCCA